UUUUCAUUCUGCACACUCUCUCACCGGUCAGAGAGACGAGAGAGUGUGUGUGAAAUGAGGAGA
rnacentral:pre_miRNA from 1 species